GGGGGGGGGGGGGGGGGGGGGGGGGGGGGGGGGGGGGGGGGGGGGGGGCGGGGGUUGGGGGGGGGCUCGGGUGGGGGGCGGGUGAGUGACACGUGGGUAGCCUGGCCUGGACUUGGGGAUGACUUCAGGAAACUGGGGCUCCUCGCGGAUGGGAGCUCCUGCUGCAUGGUGGGGGUUGGAAAGUUUCGGCGGUUGGGGAUGGACUCCCGUCUUAUCAGCGUGUUGGUGGGGUAGUGGCUUACCAAGUCUUUGACGGGUAGCCGGCCUGAGCGGGUGACCGGCCACAUUGGGACUGAGAUACGGCCCAGACUCCUACGGGAGGCAGCAGUGGGGAAUAUUGCACAAUGGGCGGAAGCCUGAUGCAGCAACGCCGCGUGCGGGAUGACGGCCUUCGGGUUGUAAACCGCUUUCGCCUGUGACGAAGCGUGAGUGACGGUAAUGGGUAAAGAAGCACCGGCUAACUACGUG
rnacentral:rRNA from 1 species